GGGAUAUUUGAGUUUGUAGUUACGGUUUGAAAAAGGUUUGGGUUUUCAAUCGAUUUGGGGAUGUUUGGUUUGUAGUUAGGGUUUGAAACGAUAUUGGUUUCAAUCGAUUUGGGGAUAUUUGAGUUUGUAGUUACGGUUUGAAAAAGGUUUGGGUUUCAAUCGAUUAGGUGAUCUUUCGGUUUGUAGUUAGGGUUUAAAAGGAUUUGGGUUUCAAUCUAUUUGGGGAUUAUUGGCCUCUUACGAUUGUUACUUUGGUUGUAUCUUCUUGUCUUAGAUAAGUGCUUUUACUCUGUGACUUUGUGAUUCUUCACGAGAAAUAUUGAGUUUUAUAUGUGCUCUGACUCAGUUGAAGUUAUGGUUUCAGAUUUUUUUUUUGUGUUCAGACUCUGUGAUUAGUGUUGUUUAACGGCAUGAUUGUUCUUCAGGGUUUGUGUUCUUAAGGAUUAGUGCAGUUGGUGUAGAAAUCAAAAUGGGACUGUUGUGUUCUUAACGAUUGUUAGCAUUAUUAAACGACUGUGGUCUUCGUUUAUGGGAGUCUAGGGAUUGGCUAUUCAAUAUGGGAGUCUAUGGGAUUUGUUAUUCAAAAUGGGAGUCUUAGUUUAAUCAAGAUUGUUUACUCUAGAGUUAGCUUCUCCUCUUACAUUAGUAUUAUAGGCAGUUUGACUGUGAUUCUUUUCGAGAAAAUGUUGACCUUUAUAUGUGAUAUGAGUCUGUUGAGCUUAGUUUUCGACAAUUGUCUUAGAGGGUGUAGCUUCACACGAUCUUUGGAUAUGACACGUUUUUUUGGUCCUCCAGGUACUUUAAACGAUAUUAAUGUCCUCGAUCGGUCUCCUGUUUUUUAUGAUAUUUUAC
rnacentral:lncRNA from 1 species